AUUGAACGCUGGCGGCAUGCCUUACACAUGCAAGUCGAACGGCAGCACGGGUGCUUGCACCUGGUGGCGAGUGGCGAACGGGUGAGUAAUAUAUCGGAACGUACCUUAUUGUGGGGGGUAACGCAGCGAAAGCUGUGCUAAUACCGCAUAAUCCCUAAGGGGGAAAGCGGGGGACCGUAAGGCCUCGCGCAAUUAGAGCGGCCGAUACCUGAUUAGCUAGUUGGUGAGGUAAAGGCUCACCAAGGCAACGAUCAGUAGCUGGGCUGAGAGGACGAUCCGCGACACUGGGACGGAGACACGGCCCAGACUCCUACGGGAGGCAGCAGUGGGGAAUUUUGGAGAAUGGGGGAAACCCUGAUCCAGCAAUGCCGCGUGAGUGAUGAAGGCCUUCGGGUUGUAAAGCUCUUUUGUCAGGGAAGAAACAGCAGCUCUAACACAGUAUGCGAAUGACGGUACCUGAAGAAUAAGCACCGGCUAACUACGUGCCAGCCGCCGCCGUAA
rnacentral:rRNA from 1 species